rnacentral:lncRNA from 10 species
GGCACCCAGCCCACCUGCCACGAUUUCAACCAGUUCACUGCUGCCACCGAGACCAUCUCGCUGCUGGUGGGCUUCUCAGCGGGUCAAGUGCAGUACCUGGAUCUCAUCAAAAAGGACACCAGCAAGCUGUUCAAUGAGGAGGACCGCUGUUGUAGAAUCAUACAUGGAGAUUGCUCAGUCCUGGGCCAACUUGGCCUACGAGGAGAUACCAGUAAACGACCUUAUCCGCGGGCAGGGACUGCUCUUGGCUUCUGUCUCAUUCUCUCUGGUCCAGAGGAGGUGUUCCAUAAAUAUUCUCAGAAUGAGUGAAUGGCUGAAGGGAGUGAACGGAACAGUCAGUGGAUUAAAAAUUCAUUAGCUCAUCCAUUCA